rnacentral:snoRNA from 1 species
UGCAUACAUUCUCUGACACAGUUUGAGCUUACUAAAGCAACAAAGUCUAACCUAUUCCAGUGCUCUCUUUCGCAUGAGGCAAGCUGUCAUACAGGCUCAAAGAAA